rnacentral:rRNA from 1 species
AUUGAACGCUGGCGGCAGGCCUAACACAUGCAAGUCGAACGAGUGGCGGACGGGUGAGUAAUGUAUGGGAAACUGCCUGAUGGCGGGGGAUAACUACUGGAAACGGUAGCUAAUACCGCAUACUAUCGGAUGUACCCAGAUGGGAUUAGCUAGUAGGUGGGGUAAAGGCUCACCUAGGCUACGAUCCCUAGCUGGUCUGAGAGGAUGAUCGGCAACACUGGAACUGAGACACGGCCCAGACUCCUACGGGAGGCAGCAGUGGGGAAUAUUGGACAAUGGGCGCAAGCCUGAUGCAGCCAUGCCGCGUGUAUGAAGAAGGCCUUCGGGUUGUAAAGUACGUUCAGCGGGGAGGCGUUACCCGCAGAAGAAGCACCGGCUAACUCCGUGCCAGCAGCCGCGGUAAUUC